UGAAACUCGCCUGUAUGAAGAUGGAGUUGCUAGUAAUCGCGAAUCAGAAUGUCGCGGUGAAUACGUUCCCGGGUCUUGUACACACCGCCCGUCACACCAUGGGAGCCGGUAAUACCCGAAGUCAGUAGUCCAACCUCGUGAGGACGCUGCCGAAGGUGGAUUGGCGACUGGGGUGAAGUCGUAACAAGGUAUC
rnacentral:rRNA from 1 species